rnacentral:lncRNA from 1 species
GACUAGAAACCUGAUGGUUGUUGGCAUUGGCUCAGGAAUUCAAGGAUCUUAGCAGUUAGGUCUGUGUGGUUCUCUUGGUCUCGAUUCUCAUGGUCACAAGAGACACCUUGUGAUUUGAUUAAUCAGGAACACCCUACUUAGCCUCCUCAGGAGCCUCACAGAUUGCCACAGUCCCUGUCUUUUUGGUCUUACUUCAAGGGUCCUUCUACAUUGUUAAUACUCUGGUGUAAAUAUGUUCCAUUAUUCCCUAGAACAUGACUGAGAUCAGUCUGAAACACUAACAUUUUAAAUACAUUUGCCUUCCCCACCCCUUCCCACAUCUCAGUGACUUGUCAGCAGCUCCUCCAGUUCAAGGCUGUUCUCCCUCUAGCUCAGUGGGGGUGGGGAAACUCACGGUUCUGUUUACUUCACUCAUUCUUUACCCCUCUGUCACUUCUAGGAUUGGGAUGGGGAAGGGUAUAUUAGAGGCAAAAAGGCUAAACUUUUGGUUUAGUUUGGCUU